CGACCCCAGGCCAGGCGGGGCUACCCGCUGAGUUUAAGCAUAUCAAUAA
rnacentral:rRNA from 1 species